rnacentral:misc_RNA from 1 species
UCUCCGUAGGUGAACCAGCGGAGGGAUCAUUACUGAGUGUUACAACUCUCAUAUCCUUUCUGAACCUUAGCAUUCGUUCCUUUAGCCUCACUACCCCCUCGUCAACGCCCGUCCGCCUUCCGCCAGGGGCCUCAGAUUCUGCAUUUAACGGGCUGGUAUUCUCUCUCAGUUUCAUAUGUACAUAAGUUAAAUCUUUCUACAACGGAUCUCUUGCCUCUGGCAUCUAUGAUGAACACAGCUGAUAGCAAGAGCACUCGUCUGCCCUGCAGUCACGCAGAA